rnacentral:rRNA from 1 species
CAGCAGCCGCGGUAAUACAGAGGAUGCAAGCGUUAUCCGGAAUGAUUGGGCGUAAAGCGUCUGUAGGUGGCUUCUCAAGUCCGCCGUCAAAUCCCAGGGCUCAACCCUGGACAGGCGGUGGAAACUACCAAGCUGGAGUACGGUAGGGGCAGAGGGAAUUUCCGGUGGGGCGGUGAAAUGCGUUGAGAUCGGAAAGAACACCAACGCGAAAGCACUCUGCUGGGCCGACACUGACACUGAGAGACGAAAGCUAGGGGAGCAAAUGGGAUUAGAUACCCGCGUAGUCCCUGUCUCUUAUACA